rnacentral:sRNA from 1 species
UUGUAUUGCAGUAAGCCCGGAUGAUAACGUUGAAAAAUUGCGCGAUGUAUUCCGAGUGUAUUCCGAAUGGAGAAAAGAUGUAAACAUUCCCCAUUAUAAAUCUCCAUAAGGAAUCCGUUUUCGUUCCUAUGUUGUUUUUUUCGAGUGAAAGAUGAUAAUGUGUCAAUGAAACAAUCUUGGAAAUUAUCCCUUUCAACUAUUUCAAUUGCACUUCUUUCCCAGGUUAUAGUCUUAUCAAUGGGGAUAAUUUUUAUCAGCCAAUGAGAGAGAGAAAGAGAGCUGAUCAUUGUACGUCACUUUUUCUUAGGACAGUGGGGGUUUUCAAGUUCUUCCUCACCAACCACCACUGACAUUAAUUCCACAUCUGUAAUAGUUGUAUAAUUAUUAGUGUAAUAUUUAGCUUUUAUUUACAUAUUUGUAGAUACUCUUCCAUUGAUAAAUAGGUUUCCAAUUUUGUCUGCCACCUCUUUUGCACAUCACUGUUAUCAUUUUCCCACUGGAUUGUUUAAUUUGAAUAUUAAGGUAAUUUGAUACAAUUAGGAAAUUUUUAUAAUGUUUUUAUAAGUGAUGUAUUGUGUAAUUUAGAUUCUACCUUUACUGAUUUGUUUAUCUAUUAUAAUUUCCUGUCAUUAGUUUUAAUAAAUUACAAUUUCAUUCAUCU